rnacentral:lncRNA from 1 species
CAACUAUUUUUUUCCAGAAUUUCCAUCUAGGUAUUUUUAUUGGCAUCUUUAUCAGGACGUACACAUCUCGAUAAUGUUGGCAUAACAUUGGCAGAACGAUCUAUUUAAGUCUGGUUCUAUUAUGUGCACUGGGUCUUGGCAGGAGUUUCCCCCUCCAGAGGCCAGCGAACAAACGUCACAGGCCCGGAUCUUCAACUCC